CCGGACGUGGAAGUUCAUCUGCAUGAUGUUGCCGACAAUAGACAGGCUCGGCGACCUCUGCACGAUCCAGCAGGUCACGCCAGUAACCACCUCCCCGAAGUAGUUCUCCGUCGGCAGGGCCAUGUCGCCGCCGUCGAAGUGCAGCACCAUGGUCGGGAAGGCGUCUCCGCUGGGGGGCGUCAGGAAGCAGACCUCGAACCCGGCCCUGCCCGGCGCUAAGGUGAGGUUCGUCGUCUGCGACAGGAGCGCCGCUUUCGCCAGCGAGUACGCCGGCUCCGCGAGGAACGCCACCGUCGUGCCGGAGUCGAAGAUGAUGCCGCCACUCCCGGUCCCCGGCGACGUCGCCGCGCCGAUCGAGAUGCUCUUCAGGUUGACGGUGUAGAAGCUGGGGCUGGCGCCCGAGAUAAGCGGCGUGGACUGGACGCCGGCACCCGUCAAGGCGCCGGAGCCGAACAGGAGAGGGCUCGCUUUGGAGGCGUCGCUGGCGAGGCAGUACGAGAAGGCGCCGGCGUUGAGCUGCGAGACGAGGGAUAGCGGCCCACGGCCGAGCCCGACGAGGCCGGAGCCGGUGCCGUAGCCGCCCUCCGACAUGUUCGUGCAGCCGAAGCCGAUUCCCGGCGCGGCGUCGCCGCCGAGCGUGAAGAUCUCGCUUCCGAGGUAACCCUGCGUGUAGUGGUGCGAGUCGGCGGCGAGGCCGUAGAGGUACCGGUAGUCGCACUCGGCGCCGCCGACGGCGCACGACGCGAGCGACUGGGAUUCCAGAUUACGGCAGAGGCCGCUGGAGCACGAUAGCAAGGAGAAAGACGAGGAGGUGUUCGGGUAGUAGGAUGGCGAGCCCUGCGGCGCGCACUGGGUGCACGGACCGCACUUGACCCAGAUGAGGUCGCUGCCGGUGUCGGCGAGCGCCGACAGCUUCUGCGGCGGUGUGCCGAUGGAGAAGUUCAUGUCGUAGGCGCCGCCGUCACCGUCAAGCUGCAGCGGGGCCUGCGCGCCGCCCGAGGUAGCGUCGAGCCGGUCGGCGAGCAUCGACAGCCGUUGGUGAGACUUAUGAGCAGCCCGUGUUAGGUUUAUGGCCGGUUCGAUGCGGGUCAUGGUGGCACGGAAGCUUUGGCGGCGUUCCGAGUAGGCCAGAGGAGCGGCGAGCAGGAAGAAGAUCGAGAAAACGAGGAUGGAUAGCCUUGGCGCCAUUCUUGGACUUCGAAGGGCUGCUAUACGUGCUGUGAUGAGGGAU
rnacentral:lncRNA from 1 species